rnacentral:rRNA from 1 species
CAGUAGCCACGGUAAUACGAAGGGGGCUAGCGUUGUUCGGAUUUACUGGGCGUAAAGCGCACGUAGGCGGAUCCUUAAGUCAGAGGUGAAAUCCCAAGGCUCAACCUUGGAACUGCCUUUGAUACUGGGGAUCUCGAGUUCGGGAGAGGUGAGUGGAACUGCGAGUGUAGAGGUGAAAUUCGUAGAUAUUCGCAAGAACACCAGUGGCGAAGGCGGCUCACUGGCCCGAUACUGACGCUGAGGUGCGAAAGCGUGGGGAGCAAACAGGAUUAGAUACCCCGGUAGUCCCUGUCUCUUAUAC